rnacentral:rRNA from 1 species
UACGAAGGGGGCUAGCGUUGUUCGGAAUUACUGGGCGUAAAGCGCACGUAGGCGGAUAUUUAAGUCAGGGGUGAAAUCCCAGAGCUCAACUCUGGAACUGCCUUCGAUACUGGCGAUCUCGAGUUCGGGAGAGGUGAGUGGAACUGCGAGUGUAGAGGUGAAAUUCGUAGAUAUUCGCAAGAACACCAGUGGCGAAGGCGGCUCACUGGCCCGAUACUGACGCUGAGGUGCGAAAGCGUGGGGAGCAAACAGG